GACGGCAACUGCAUAGCGGACGAGCUGGCCAGAUCUGGUACUACGACCCCCCUUCUCCAAGAUAACGAGGAUACUUGUAUGCCUAUGGCCACCUGCAAGCUCAUCAUAAAAGACUAACAGACAACAAGUGGCAAAUAGGGCCACGUUGUCGCACAGCUCAGCAAACAUGGCCGACCAUAGAUAAGAAGCGCACCGCAGAGCUCUGCAAACUAGGCAGGGAAAGGUGCACUGGCUAGUAGGCACCCACGCAAGUAGGCUGGGUGCCCCAUACAAUGAUUUCUGCCGCAGCUACAGAGACGAGGACGAGGAGGAGACAGUGGAACACCUGUUAUGUUCCUGUCCGGCUCUCAGCAGAAGGAGGCUGCAUCACUUGGGCUCCGCCUUUCUGAACGACAUCUCGGAGAUGUCCACGCUAUGUCCCAAAAAGAUCGCAAACUUUAUAAGAGCAUCUGGAUGGAUGUCAACUGUUGACAUGAAAUCUCACUGCAGGGAGGGAAUGAUCCCAAGCGGUAUCACAACAGGCCAGUUACCCGGGUCAAACCCGAAGCCCAUGGGACCCAAUAUUCAGUGUUCGAUGUGCGACAUGUUCGUUUUAUGAACUAGCACAUCUAUAUACUGUAUGGUUUAUGAUAAAAGACUGUAGUGUAUUAUAUCUGAAAAAACAAACACACUUCACCGGUGCAAGUGCUUACAUUGCAGACCGAGCUGAGCUGACAGCUGAAAAAGCUUGCUGAUAUCAGCUUAGCUUAGUUUGAUCGAUCAAGCAUGUUUGUUUUUUCAGCAAGCUGAUUGCUGAUUUCAGUACUGAACGAAAAUGGACUGUGAAAUGUUAUUGAGUGAAAUUGCGGUGAACCCGGUCUUAUGGAACAAGCGUGAUAAAAAUUAUUCGAAUCGUUUGAUUUUCGAAAAAACCUGGCAGGCGAUCGCAAAUAAAUUGGGAAAACCAGCGGAGCAGUGCAAAAAAAAGUUUAAGUAUUUAAAAGACGAAUACCGCAAGGCCCAGCGAAAUGUGCCAAGACUCGCAUCAGGAGCAGCAGCAGCAGAGCCUCACGUUUCCAAAUUUAAAUAUUUUAAUUUAAUGCACUUUUUGAGGGAUGAUUUCGGUGGAGAAACCGACGGAAAUAUAGGAGGCACAUACAUCGAACUAAUGGACGACACAUCAAUGCCAUAUAGUGCUGAACUGUACGACACUGAAAUUGCCUUGACAAAAGAUGACAUCGAAAAGCCAGGACCGUCCAAACGACAUAACAAACGACAAAAAGACAUGGACAACGAACUAAUAGAAAUCGAACAUAAACAUAAACAUAAAACAUUAAAACUCUUGGAAAUGGACAUUGAAAUAAAUACAAAUAACAAAGACUCAGACGAUUUAUUAUUUUUCAAAAGUGUAAUACCUUUGCUGCCGAGCUCCCUGUCAGCAAGCCAAAAACUACGGAUGAGGACAGACAUUCAAAAUGUCGUCCUCAAAUAUUUGGAGGAAGAUUAAUUUUAUUUAUUUUCAUAAUUUAUAUAUUUUGUUAGUCAUUUCUUUCUUUCUUUAUUUAUUAUUAUUUUUUAUUAUUUAUUUUUGUUAUUAUUUUUAUGUUACACACCUUACACACUUUUCAUACAUUAUACCUUCAUACAUAGUCUAAUUACACAUACAUACAUCUAAUUGCAUACAUACACAUAUACAUAUAUAUAUACAUACACAUAACGAAAAAUAAACAAUAAAAAUAAAAAAGCUUCCUUUACGAACCGCAAUGUAACAAAAAGUCUUUCUUUGGGUCCAAUUGGUUCUCGAAGGAAUGUCUGCUGCUUUUGAAUUCGCGAUUCAAUUUUAUUUAAAAUAUAGUCAAAGGUCUCCACCUGCAUUCUUGCGUAUUCGGCAAAUUUUAUUGGGAACGUUCGAAGCUGCUCAUACAUACGGUGAAAUUCCCCAAGUACCGGGCGAUUCCGAAAAAUUUCGUGCACCCAAAUCUCUCUGCGUAUUUUCCUUUCAUUGAAUAGUUUUUUCAUUUGCACAUUUUCGCACAGCAACAAUUUACGCACGCGCGACGACAACAUUUUGGUAACGUUUAAAGAGAGAGAGUCUAUGGCUUUCAGCUUUCAGCAAUCAGAUCAGCCGACAAUGUACGCACCUGCAAGCUGAUUCUGCCUGAGAAAAGCUCUCAGAUCAGCUGAGCUUUCAGCUUUGAUUUCAGCUCCGCUUUCAGCUAUAGUGUGCGCGAGCCCUAAAAGCUGAUUCUGCUUGAAAAAGGCUCUCAGAUCAGCUCAGCUUCCAGCUACAGUGUGCGCGAGCCCUUAAGCUUGAGAGUGCGGAAGAAAGUUAUUUUAAAGUAAUAUCUGAUUCUAUUUUCUGAGCAGAUUGAAUAUUUGUUAGUGAACAUAAAUUGCCCAUACCAAAGCGACAGACUCCAAUUUGGGGCUCGCUCUCAGCCGAACAUCAACACCAAGCUAUCUAUGUAUCUCCACUGAAAAACACUCCACUAAACCCACUUACCCAUUACUCAAAUCCCCCACCAUAAAUAAUAUUUACACCAUAAACGAAUUUAUUAAGCAAGCUAAACUGUAUAAAUAUCAACAAAAUUAAGUACCCAUAGACAAAAUCAAAUAAAUAAACAUCGUUCGAGUCGAAGGCCAAAGCAUGCAGUGCCCGGUAAAAUAGAUAUUAGGAUUAACAUUGAAUGUUAAGAGUAAUCUGUUCAAAUACAACAUAAAAUAAAUAAAAC